GUAGGAUCUCUCUUUGAAGAUCCUGCAUUUGUAGAGUUUUUCCUUGCAAGCCUAGAUCUCUAGGUGUUUUGGAUUGAGCUCUUACUGAAAAGAGGCUGAAAACAAGACUGCUGGGAGAGCAAAGAAGCUUUGAAUUUCUUGCCUGCUUAAUUCCAAUUCAUUUGUCUUUUCUGGAUCCUGAAUUCCAGGAAGAAUCACAGAACAAUUGAAGAUGGAAGGGACUCCUGGAUGUUACUUGGUGCAGUCCCCUGCUCAAGCAGGGCCACCAGGAUCAAGUUGCCUAGGACCACAUCUAGGUGGCUUUGGAAUAUCUUCAAAGGGGAGACUCUGCUACCUUUCUGGGCAUGUGCUAGUGCUCUGUCACCUUCACAGUGUAAAAGCUUUCCCUGAUGUUGAAAUGGAUCCUUCCCUGUUUGUGUCCCUUGCCUCUUCUCCUGUUACUGAGCACCACUGAAAAGAGACCGACUUCACCUUCUUUCCUCCCUUUCUUCAGGAUUCUAUUGAUGACUGCAGAUAGAAGCUCUUCAGGACAUAUGAAUUGUGCUUGCAGUGUCAAUGAACAUUAGCAGAACAUCUGCUGCAGACUGGACUUGAAGUAAAGGACCAUCUAGCUGGCUGUCAACAGGCUGCGAUUGUGCGCAGGGGAAAACAGCAAGGAGUAGACUGAGUGGGUUCAGAAGAGAACUAUUUGACGUUAGAUGAAGGCAAAAUCUAGGUCUGCCUCUAUCUCAUGCAGCCUACUAAACAGAUGGGAGAGAUAGGCAUCGACUCUGCAUCUGGACUGCCUGAAAAUUCAAAUGAGUUUGGAUAGAACUUUGGAAUGGGUUGUUCCAUUCUUGUUACAGC